GACGAACGCUGGCGGCGUGCUUAACACAUGCAAGUCGAACGGAAAGGCCCCUUUAGGGGUACUCGAGUGGCGAACGGGUGAGUAACACGUGAGUAACCUGCCCUUGACUUCGGGAUAACUUCAGGAAACUGGGGCUAAUACCGGAUAGGAAUCCUUGCUGCAUGGUGGGGGUUGGAAAGCUUCGGCGGUUUUGGAUGGACUCGCGGCUUAUCAGCUUGUUGGUGGGGUAGUGGCUUACCAAGGCUUUGACGGGUAGCCGGCCUGAGAGGGCGACCGGCCACAUUGGGACUGAGAUACGGCCCAGACUCCUACGGGAGGCAGCAGUGGGGAAUAUUGCACAAGGGGCGGAAGCCUGAUGCAGCAACGCCGCGUGCGGGAUGACGGCCUUCGGGUUGGAAACCGCUUUCAGCAGGGGCGAAGCUUGUGGUGACGGUACCUGCAGAAGAAGCACCGGCUAACUACGUG
rnacentral:rRNA from 1 species